UUCCACUUUGCCUAGAUUGUCUGCUGUUGCAGGGCUGCUCCACAAACUCCAUUCACCUUACGGAGCAUCUGCCACAUGCCAGAAAUGAGGUGUGAGCAUCAGAAACACAAAAGAAACAUUCCCAUCCAUAGCCCUGCAGAGGAGAAAGGCAAGAGAACUGAGAAUUCUAACUUACAAUCCCACGUGCUGAGUGCUACAAAAAGGGUGAUACGGAAAGAAAGGACUCUUCCCAUGAAGAGAAAAACUACAGCAGUAGAUAAGAUAAUGCAUAGCCUUCCUUAAAGAUGAUAAGUACAAGGUGGAGUGGUUCGGUGUCAAGAUGUUAAGGACCAUGUGUAACUAGUUCCUGGCUGUAUCCUUGUGCUAGUGGGUGUCCCAGGCAUCCAUGGUUGUGAGAGGAAGGAACAGAAGCAAAGAGAAUGGGAGAGAGCAGAAGAGAAGAAUCAAAUUUGGUUUUAUUCUUCAUUUAAAAUCUUCACAUUUUUCCAUCACAAUAUAUGACAGUAUUUCAAU